GAUGAACGCUAGCUACAGGCUUAACACAUGCAAGUCGAGGGGCAGCGAGAAGGAAGCUUGCUUUCUUUGUCGGCGACCGGCGCACGGGUGAGUAACGCGUAUCCAACCUGGCCCUUAGUAGAGAAUAGCCCGGCGAAAGUCGGAUUAAUGCUCUAUGUUCUUCUUUGAUGGCAUCUGACGAGAAGCAAAGGUUUACCGCUAAGGGAUGGGGAUGCGUCUGAUUAGGUUGUUGGCGGGGUAACGGCCCACCAAGCCAUCGAUCAGUAGGGGUUCUGAGAGGAAGGUCCCCCACAUUGGUACUGAGACACGGACCAAACUCC
rnacentral:rRNA from 1 species